rnacentral:misc_RNA from 1 species
GAUGAAGAACGCAGCGAAAUGCGAUAAGUAAUGCGAAUUGCAGAAUUCAGUGAAUCAUCGAAUCUUUGAACGCACAUUGCGCCCGCUGGUACUCCGGCGGGCACGCCUGUCCGAGCGUCAUUUCAACCCUCAAGCCCUCCUUCGGGAUGGGCCUGGUGUUGGGGCUCGGCCGCCAUCUCCGGCGGCCGUCCCCUAAAUACAGUGGCGGUCACGUCGCGACUCCUUUGCGUAGUAGAAACACCUCGCUCCGGAUAGCAACGCGGUCCACGCCGUAAAACCCCCAAUUUUCAAUGGUUGACCUCGGAUCAGGUGGGAAUACCCGCUGAACUUAAGCAUAUCAAUAAGCGGAGGA